rnacentral:rRNA from 1 species
GACGAACGCUGGCGGCGUGCUUAACACAUGCAAGUCGAACGGAAAGGCCCUGCUUUUGUGGGGUGCUCGAGUGGCGAACGGGUGAGUAACACGUGAGUAACCUGCCCUUGACUUUGGGAUAACUUCAGGAAACUGGGGCUAAUACCGGAUAGGAGCUCCUGCUGCAUGGUGGGGGUUGGAAAGUUUCGGCGGUUGGGGAUGGACUCGCGGCUUAUCAGCUUGUUGGUGGGGUAGUGGCUUACCAAGGCUUUGACGGGUAGCCGGCCUGAGAGGGUGACCGGCCACAAUGGGACUGAGAGACGGCCCAGACUCCUACGGGAGGCAGCAGUGGGGAAUAUGGCACAAUGGGCGGAAGCCUGAUGAAGCAACGCCGCGUGCGGGAUGACGGCCUUCGGGUUGUAAACCGCUUUCGCCUGUGACGAAGCGUGAGUGACGGUAAUGGGUAAAGAAGCACCGGCUAACUACGUG